GGCGGCGUGCCUAACACAUGCAAGUCGAACAAGAAAGGUACUUCGGUCCUGAGUACAGUGGCGCACGGGUGAGUAACACGUGACUAACCUACCCUCGAGUGGGGAAUAACUUCGGGAAACCGAGGCUAAUACCGCAUAAUACCCACGGGUCAAAGGAGCAAUUCGCUUGAGGAGGGGGUCGCGGCCGAUUAGCUAGUUGGCGGGGUAAUGGCCCACCAAGGCAGUGAUCGGCAUCCGGCCUGAGAGGGCGCACGGACACACUGGAACUGAAACACGGUCCAGACUCCUACGGGAGGCAGCAGUGGGGAAUUUUGCGCAAUGGGGGAAACCCUGACGCAGCAACGCCGCGUGGAGGAUGAAGUCUCUUGGGACGUAAACUCCUUUCGAUCGGAACGAUUAUGACGGUACCGGAAGAAGAAGCCCCGGCUAACUUCGUGCCAGCAGCCGCGGUAAUACGAGGGGGGCGAGCGUUGUUCGGAAUUAUUGGGCGUAAAGGGUGCGUAGGCGGUUCGGUAAGUUUGAUGUGAAAUCUUCGGGCUCAACUCGAAGUCUGCAUCGAAAACUGCCGGGCUUGAGUGUGGGAGAGGUGAGUGGAAUUUCCGGUGUAGCGGUGAAAUGCGUAGAUAUCGGAAGGAACACCUGUGGCGAAAGCGGCUCACUGGACCACAACUGACGCUGAUGCACGAAAGCUAGGGGAGCAAACAGGAUUAGAUACCCUGGUAGUCCUAGCCCUAAACGAUGAUCGCUUGGUGUGGCGGGUACCGGGCUCGAAAUGUAGUGGACCGGGGUAGAAAUAUCCCUUCCCCGCAAGGGGCUGCUAUAUAGGUGCUGCAUGGCUGUCGUCAGCUCGCGUCGUGAGAUGUUGGGAUAAGUCCCGCAACGAGCGCAACCCUUAUUGCCAGUUGCUACCAUUUAGUUGAGCACUCUGGUGAGGCCGCCUCGGAUAACGGGGAGGAAGGUGGGGAUGACGUCAAGUCCUCAUGGCCUUUAUGUCCAGGGCUACACACGUGCUACAAUGGCCGGUACAAACCGCCGCAAACCCGCGAGGGGGAGCUAAUCGGAAAAAGCCGGCCUCAGUUCGGAUUGUAGUCUGCAACUCGACUACAUGAAGCUGGAAUCGCUAGUAAUCGCGGAUCAGCAUGCCGCGGUGAAUACGUUCCCGGGCCUUGUACACACCGCCCGUCACAUCACGAAAGUGGGUCGUACUAGAAGCGGGUGAGCCAACCGUAAGGAGGCAGCCUUCCAAGGUGUGAUUCAUGAUUGGGGUGAAGUCGUAACAAGGUAGCCGUAGGAGGACCUGCGGCUGGAUCACCUCCUUUCU
rnacentral:rRNA from 1 species